GACGUAGGAGGCGAGCGUUGUCCGGAUUCAUUGGGCGUAAAGAGCGCGCAGGCGGCUUGGUAAGUCGGAUGUGAAAUCCCGAGGCUCAACCUCGGGUCUGCAUCCGAUACUGCCCGGCUAGAGGUAGGUAGGGGAGAUCGGAAUUCCUGGUGUAGCGGUGAAAUGCGCAGAUAUCAGGAGGAACACCGGUGGCGAAGGCGGAUCUCUGGGCCUUACCUGACGCUGAGGUGCGAAAGCGUGGGGAGCGAUCCGG
rnacentral:rRNA from 1 species